GUGAGGAAUAUUGGUCAAUGGGCGAGAGCCUGAACCAGCCAAGUCGCGUGAAGGAUGAAGGUUUUAUGAAUUGUAAACUUCUUUUGCAGGGGAAUAAAGUACGGUACGUGUACCGUUUUGUAUGUACUCUGCGAAUAAGGAUCGGCUAACUCCGUGCCAGCAGCCGCGGUAAUACGGAGGAUCCGAGCGUUAUCCGGAUUUAUUGGGUUUAAAGGGUGCGUAGGUGGAUUUAUAAGUCAGCGGUGAAAGUUUGCAGCUUAACUGUAAAAUUGCCGUUGAAACUGUCGGUCUUGAGUGCAAAUGAGGUAGGCGGAAUGUGUUGUGUAGCGGUGAAAUGCUUAGAUAUAACACAGAACUCCGAUUGCGAAGGCAGCUUACUGGGAUGCAACUGACACUGAUGCACGAAAGCGUGGGUAUCAAACAGGAUUAGAUACCCGAGUAGUCC
rnacentral:rRNA from 1 species